UACGUAGGGGGCAAGCGUUGUCCGGAUUUAUUGGGCGUAAAGAGCGUGUAGGCGGCCUGAAAGGUCAGCUGUGAAAACUCGAGGCUCAACCUCGAGACGUCGGUUGAAACCAUCUGGCUAGAGUCCGGAAGAGGAGUGUGGAAUUCCCGGUGUAGCGGUGAAAUGCGCAGAUAUUGGGAGGAACACCAGUGGCGAAGGCGGCUCACUGGACCGGAACUGACGCUGAGGCGCGAAAGCGUGGGGAGCAAACGGG
rnacentral:rRNA from 1 species